GAUGAACGCUGGCGGCGUGCCUAAUACAUGCAAGUCGAGCGAACAGACGAGGAGCUUGCUCCUCUGACGUUAGCGGCGGACGGGUGAGUAACACGUGGAUAACCUACCUAUAAGACUGGGAUAACUUCGGGAAACCGGAGCUAAUACCGGAUAAUAUAUUGAACCGCAUGGUUCAAUAGUGAAAGACGGUUUUGCUUUCACUUAUAGAUGGAUCCGCGCCGCAUUAGCUAGUUGGUAAGGUAACGGCUUACCAAGGCGACGAUGCGUAGCCGACCUGAGAGGGUGAUCGGCCACACUGGGACUGAGACACGGUCCAGACUCCUACGGGAGGCAGCAGUCGGGUAUCUUCCGCGAUGGGCGAAAGCCUGACGGAGCAACGCCGCGUGAGUGAUGACGGUCUUCGGAUCGUAAACCUCUGUUAUUAGGGAAGAACAAAUGUGUAAGUAACUAUGCACGUCUUGACGGUACCUAAUCAGAAAGCCACGGCUAACUACGUG
rnacentral:rRNA from 1 species